UAGCUCAGCUGGUUAGAGCAUCUGACUGUUAAUCAGAGGGUCCUUGGUUCGAGCCCAAG
rnacentral:tRNA from 1 species